UAAAUUGAGAGUUUGAUCCUGGCUCAGGAUGAACGUUGGCGACGUGCCUAACACAUGCAAGUCGAGCGGUGAAAAGCGGACUUAAUCUUCGGAAAGAGGAAACUUGGAACAGCGGCGGACGGGUGAGUAAUACAUGAGCAACCUGCCUUGGACAGAGGGAUAGCCGUGGGAAACCGCGAUUAAUACCUCAUAAGACCCCACUAUCGCAUGAUAGAGAGGUCAAAGAUUUAUCGGUCCAAGAUGGACUCAUGACCCAUUAGCUAGUUGGUGAGAUAACAGCCCACCAAGGCGACGAUGGGUAGCCGGCUUGAGAGAGUGACCGGCCACAUUGGAACUGAGACACGGUCCAGACUCCUACGGGAGGCAGCAGUGGGGAAUAUUGCACAAUGGAGGAAACUCUGAUGCAGCGACGUCGCGUGAGCGAAGAAGGUUUUCGAAUCGUAAAGCUCUGUCCUAUGGGAAGAAGAAAGACGGUACCAUAGAAGAAAGCCCCGGCUAACUACGUGCCAGCAGCCGCGGUAAUACGUAGGGGGCGAACGUUAUCCGGAAUGAUUGGGCGUAAAGGGUACGUAGGCGGACCUGUAAGUCAGGUGUGAAAGGCAUGGGCUCAACCCAUGUAAGCACUUGAAACUGCGGGCCUUGAGGGAAGGAGAGGUAAGUGGAAUUCCUAGUGUAGCGGUGAAAUGCGUAGAUAUUAGGAGGAAUACCGGUGGCGAAGGCGACUUACUGGACUUUUACUGACGCUGAGGUACGAAAGCGUGGGGAGCAAACAGGAUUAGAUACCCUGGUAGUCCACGCCGUAAAUGGUGAGUGCUAGGUGUCGGGAGUCAAAUCUCGGUGCCGACGUUAACACAUUAAGCACUCCGCCUGGGGAGUACGCACGCAAGUGUGAAACUCAAAGGAAUUGACGGGGACCCGCACAAGCAGCGGAGCAUGUGGUUUAAUUCGAUGCAACGCGAAAAACCUUACCAGGACUUGACAUAUGGAUGCCCGGUAUAGAGAUAUACCCUUUCUUCGGAACAUUCAUACAGGUGGUGCAUGGUUGUCGUCAGCUCGUGUCGUGAGAUGUUGGGUUAAGUCCCGCAACGAGCGCAACCCCUAUUCUUAGUUACUAACAGGUCAAGCUGAGGACUCUAAGGAGACUGCCGGUGACAAACCGGAGGAAGAUGGGGAUGACGUCAAAUCAUCAUGCCCUUUAUGUCCUGGGCUACACACGUGCUACAAUGGUCGGUACAGAAGGAAGCGAGAUAGCGAUAUCGAGCGAACCCCCAAAGCCGAUCCCAGUUCGGAUUGUUCUCUGCAACUCGAGAACAUGAAGCCGGAGUUGCUAGUAAUUGCGAAUCAGCAUGUCGCAGUGAAUGCGUUCCCGGGUCUUGUACACACCGCCCGUCACACCAUGGGAGUUGGUAAUACCCGAAGCCUGUGAGCCAACCUGCAAAGGAAGCAGCAGUCGAAGGUAGGAUCAAUGACUGGGGUGAAGUCGUAACAAGGUAGCCGUAUCGGAAGGUGCGGCUGGAUCACCUCCUUU
rfam:Peptostreptococcaceae bacterium oral taxon 113 str. W5053 genomic scaffold Scaffold324, whole genome shotgun sequence.